GCAUGGAUAUGAUGAAUAGUUGCUCUGUCUAAUUUUCAAAUUUGAGUUCUCUCUCUAGCCUAGACAUAACUGUUAUAAUUUAAAGCUUGCCCUAAACCUGAACUUAUAGGAACAGAACUUGAUCUAAAGUUUAAGUUGUUGACAGAUAUGAUAUGGGAAGGUUGAGCUGCUGUUUAUCUAUUUCUAGAGAUGCUAGAAAUCUGGAGAAUUUUAUCUUUAAAAAAUCUUUAAAAUAUCACAUGAUGAGUUUCUGUAUGAUGAGAGUUUAAAUUCCUACUACAGCCAUAUAUACAUGCCUGCUAAGACUUUGAGCCACACAUUUACUUUUUACUGCUUAUGAGCAUUGAGUCUGGUCAAGCUAUGUAGACCCUUAGGAGCUUGUCAUGUGGUUAAAUCAAGAUUCACUUGCACAUUCACUCACACAAGCUGUUUCUACCCCAGAAGUACGCAUCCACAUAUAUCCACCCAUUUCCAUCUCUAGAACCACCCAAAAAAUAUUCUACUCCUAAUCCGGGAGAGAAUAGCCAAAAACAUUCUCCUAUUUCUAUUUUUCCCUGUGAAAUAAAUGCUCGAAUUAUCUUGGUUACUACCACUUGCUAUAUUAUUUCAGGAGAUGAGUGCUCUAAAAAAAAGAGAAAAGAUACGAGGAAAUAAAAAGGGGCAAGUGCCCGGAACCUCGAAAGAAAAGAAGAAGUGAGACGAGAGGUAAAAAUGGACAAGUGUCCGACAGUAGAAUUAGGGGUACAAGAUACCCACCUGAGAGAAAAGAAAAGAAAAAUAUAUAUAGAGCAUCUCAUUCUCCUCAAAAAGUUUCAAAAGAGCAUGGAAGGUAUAUAUCCCCUCAAAAGAGCACAAGUAGAAUUAGACUUUCACCAUUGUUAUCACCAUCAUCACCAUACACCAUUCAUUCACCACACAUGCACAUCUUGAUUUGACUUAUUGACUUGUUUCUCUGCAUCCAUUGUUUGACUAUGCAAUAAAUGUCUUGUAAGUAUGUAUACUUUAUCUCCCACCUAUGAGCUCCAGAUAUCAAAACCUUAUUAGAGUAGGGUGAGAGAGAAGGCAAUGUCACUAUGCCUUAUACCACAAAUACUACAUACUUUGAGAGAAGGCAUAUACCAUCACUGCCUUGGUAAGGAUCCAGAAAUACCACAAAAGAGAGAUCUGUGAGGGUCAUACAAGGAAUCUCUGAGUUUUAUUUGAAAAUCUGCAAAAACUCCAGAGCUAUAACUGAUCAAGAAUAAGAGACAUGGCACUUGAUUAGACCGUUCUAUCUUUUAACUACUCAAGAUAGAAGUGACGGUUACAUGUCCCGUGGUGAAAGGUAAAAUAAGUAAGUUUUAAGUAUUGACAGUUUACUCUAACUCAGAGAUGAUACCUCAUUUGAAAGCAUGUGUACCAUCAAUUAUUAAAGGCAUUACAGCAACUUCUGAUCCAUCACUGAGAUUAUCCUUGCUCAGGGACGAGCAAGAGGUAAGGUUGGGGGAGUUUGUUGAUGGUUCUUAAGUGUCAAAUAUAAUCAAUAAAUAAACAAAGAAAAGGAUCCAAAUGCAACUAACAUCCAGACUUCUGACAGAAUUCCACAAGUUUUGGUGUUUGUCUAUUUUUGCAGGGGGUUAUCAGGAAAUAUGGAGGAAAGGCCCACACGUCGGGUUUACAUAGAGAUAUUAACGUGCCGCGUAAUUAUCUAACAUCUAGAAGAGUCCAGAAGUCACGGGAAUGAACGGAGACCAGACGGGCUCGGGGGCAGGGCGCCCGCCCUAACCUCGGGGCCAAUCAGCUUCAACUUCACGGAUCAUUCUCCACCGACCUAAAGGAUCAAGGAAAACCAUGCGAUUAAUGUCGAUUUGAUCCGAAGGCCCACAUUCACUUGGAAGGACUAUAUAAGCAGACCCCUGGCCUCUGGAGGAGAGGACCUCAGACCCCUAAUUCAUUAUUCAUCUUGGGAGAAGAAGCCUCUGAUCAAGCCCUAGAGCCACCACAUCAAUUAGAUCUCUAGAUUAGCAUAGCUACACAGGAUUAGAACUAGAAGGAGUCAAUCUUCGUUUGGUUUCCGAAUCUGUCAAGAGGAUUCUUGGUAAUUCUCUAUUGUUCUUCAAUUGUUCAUCUUUGUUCUUCAAUAUUAUGAAUAUGACUUUGCUCUACUUCAAGGUAUUGAUUAUGACUUUGCUCUACUUGUUUAUAUUCGUAGUUAUAUUGUUCUUAGUUUAUCAUAGUUAUAUACUUGGCUUAGUUAGAUUGGAAUUAUAUACAUGUUUAGGAUUUUAUAGCAUUUAUCCAUGUGUACAGUGGGUAAAUGAUAAGUAUUGUGUAGGCGUGGUGCCUAUACCGUAUUUAUCUGCGAUUGUACUCUAUAUGCCAGAUCGCGGGGUAGUUCGUGGUAGUGAUAGCUCCAUUGAUUCUUAUAUAGUCCCCCUCUCGUGUAUAGGGCUGGCAGAGUAACAUUAUUACAGGAGAGUGAUUGCGAUGUUUCUCAUAUUCCUUGAUAAUAUCACUAUGCAUGGGCAUAGUCCUGUCUCGCAAUGAUUGCCAACUGUAAUUGCACUAACUAUGAUACGCUAGACUGUAUAGUUAAGAAUAACUUAGGAAAUAUUCUUGUAGUUCGUCCUAAUUCCAUGCCAAUGACUUGCUAGAAUAUCUAAUUGAGGUGCUUAUCAUAUUUAUUAUGUGGCUAAGUUAUGCUGAUCAGAUUAAUUAUCUUUGUGACCAUUCAUAUUUUAUCUAUAUCUUAUGUGACACUUAUCCCUGUAUGAAAGAGAUAGAUAUAUGCUCUCAAUUAUAUAUGCAAUGAUAGAUACUCAAUCCUAUAUUCCAUUCUAUAAUCAACAUUGAUGUUUAGCAAUCCCUUCCCAGUGGUAAAAAUAUAAAUAACGAUACCUCGAAUACUUCCCGGUUAAAAUGCUACAUCGGUAUUAAUAUGUGCGCUUGCAGAUCUGAUUUAUUAUUUAUUUAGAAGAGCAAUUGCAUAUUUCAAUACCGCGUCUUUUAUGUCAUGCUGGGGAUGACAACUUGGCUUAAGUGGCAUGAUGGAUAGGUUUGGCAUUUUUGGCGCCGUUAUCAGAAUUAGAAAACUAAGUCUACUUUUGGUAGUGACGUUAAGAAUGCCCAACAAAGACCUCGAGAUCACAUUUGGCUGCCUACACACCAACAACAUCAAGCUCAACCCCAAAAAGUGUGUCUUCGGUGUGCCCCGAGGUAUGCUUCUAGGAUACAUGGUCUCCUAGUGCGGCAUCGAGGCCAACACCGAGAAAGUCUCGGCCAUCCCCAAGACGGGGCCGAUUCGAGAUGUCAAAGGCGUACAAAAGGUGAUGGGUUGUCUGGCGGUGAUCAGUCGUUUCAUCUCGUGACUAGGCGAAAAGCGCUGCUGCUAUACCGACUCCUGAAAAAAGCCGAGCGCUUCACAUGGACCACCGAGGCUGAGGAUGCCAUCGACAAGCUCAAGAGGAUGUUGACCACCGCUCCAAUCCUGGUGCCCCCUCGACCCGUAGAAUCUCUGUUCCUCUAUGUUGCGGCAACGACCCAGGUCAUCAACGCAGCCUUAGUAAUUGAAAGGCCUGAAGAAGGACAUGCGCUUCCAGACCAGCGGCCGGUCUACUUUAUCAGCGAGGUGCUCUCGGACACAAAGGUACUAUACUGCCAGAUUCAGAAACUGAUCUAUGUGGUAAUUCACGCUCGAUGAAAGCUGCAGCACUACUUUCUCGGCCACCCGAUCACGGUGGUCUCGUCCUUCCCGCUGGGCGAGAUCAUCUAGAACCGAGAGGCCACUGGGAGGAUUGCCAAAUGGUCAGUCGAACUUAUGGGAGAGGCCCUCGCAUAUGCGCAUCGCAAAGCCAUCAAGUCUCAAGCACUGGCGGAUUUCAUAGCAAAAUGGACCGACACCCAGCUUCCCCAACACAGGUCUAGGCGGAGCUUUAGACGAUGUACUUCGAUGAAUCACUCAUGAAGAUGGGGGCUAGGGCUGGCUUGUUGUUCAUCUCACCUAUUGGCGUCCAUAUGAGGUAUGUGAUUCGAAUACAUUUUGCGGCAUCUAACAAUGUCGCAGAGUACGAGGCCCUCGUCAAUGGGUUAAGGAUCGCAAUUGAGCUUGGGGUCCGACGCCUCGACAUCCGAGGUGAUUCUUAGCUCGUCAUCGACCAAGUCCUGAAAGCUUCAAGCUGUCACUGUUGAUGGUCCUUAAGUACCAAAUAUAGUCAUCAAAUAAAUAAAGAAAAGGAUCCAAAUGCAACCAACACCCAGACUUAGGGUUUUAACUGACAGAAUUCCACGAGUUUUGGUGUUUGUCUAUUUCUGUAGGGGGUUAUCAGGAAAUAAGGAUGAAAGGCCCACAUGUCGUGAUUACAUAGAGAUAUCAACGCACCGCGCAAUUUUCUACCAUCUAGAAGACUCCAGAAGCCACGGGAAGAAAGCAGAGGCCGAAAGGGGCCAGGCCCAGGGCGCCCGCCCUCUUUCCCUGGGCGCCUGCCUUGUCCUGGACUCCGUUCGGGACUCUUUUCGCACACGAUGUUCCACCGACUUAAAGGAUCAAGGAUAAUGUAGUACCACAUUGCCUACCGACCCAAAAACGCAUAGAGGAGGAGGACUAUAUAAGGAGACCCCCCUGGCCCCUGGAGGAGACAAUAAGUUAUCAUUGAGAUCGAGGGGUGCCCUCGAAGGAAAACCUCUUCUCUAAAUAAUAUUUCUUUUUAGGCUUAGCAACCAAUGUAAGUAGAAAUAGAUCUUCUAGUUUCUACUAGAUUGAGAGAGAUAGAGUGGAGGUGUAGAUCGGAGGAAGGCCGGCCUGUCGGUGCCUACUCCGAGUUGUACCUGCGGGAUCAAGUCUCCUAACCCGAGGCCUGCUUCUAAGAUUCUUCAGUAAUUCGACUUCUAAUUCUAGUAAGUUCUUGCUUUAUUGUUCUUUGGUUUAUGAGUUUACUUUAAUCCUCUUCCGGUUGAGUAUUAGAGUAAUCAUUGCUAGUGUAAACAUGGUGUUUAGGCUAGGGUACUCAUAGAUAUCCCCUGACUAGCUGGACUGUGGUAGUAGCGAGGAACGUGACAUUUCCGAGUUACCUUUGUAUCCCAUAUCCGACUUAGGGUUUUAGAAGAAUCUCUACGACAUCGGAUCUAACGACAACAUAAUGGCCGCAGUCACUUAUCAGCUCCUGCAUGGAACCAUGCCCCUACAACCAAGAUAUAUUCAGCUCCAGAUGAUUUUCAGGUCAUUGACAUGGGAAAAGAUGAGUAUGAUCCACCCACCAUCCUCGGAAGACCGUUCCUGAACACUAUCAAAGUUAUCAUCUAUAUUGGAACUGGAGAAGUCCACGUGUACUUCUCCUCUGAGAAGGUACGCCGCUAUUUUGCUGACCUUAACUAUAUAGUUGAAGACUCUAAGCAGGUCAAGACAAGAAGAAGAUAACGCAACCGCAACCAGAGGAGGCAAAUCAUCAUAGACGAAUGGGCAAACUACGAAGGAGAAGUGGUAAGGUCUGAAGACAUACAACUUGAACAGAACUGUCCUGAGGAGACCGUAGCACCGAGUCAGAUGUGGAGAGAGAAGAUAGUUAUACACGAAGAGGAGGCACCGCCGGAACCACCGACUACGCCAUCCAACGAAUCCCAGGAUGACUGAGAAAACACAAGGAGUCUCGUUCGGAGGACUUAAAAACACCGAACGUCUUGCCAAGAGGUAAACUUGGUAGUUAUCUUUUUCCCUUCAAUUAUUCAAUUAUAGUUUGCUUAGUUAAUCAGGUUCAUGUUAUCUUGAAAAGAAAAUAAAAAUGUUAAAAAAUAGUAAGCCCCAUGUGAGUAUGCUCAUGGCAUACAACCCAUAAGUACAUUCACUGUGGUGGCAUAAAAAUAAAAUAAAUAAGUUUUCAUCUUACAAUAAAAAUAUAAAAAUAAUAAGUGCAUGAUCCUGCUAAAUAAGUAAUGUUUAUUGAGGAGGCUCAACAUGAUAAAGGCUAGAUAUUUAUGCUAACACUUAACCAGUUCCACAAAGCUUUGUUGUAUAUUUGAGCUCCACAGAAUUCAAGGAUCAAAGAAGACUAGCAGACGGAGGACAUCCUAAUCGCUGUCAGGGUGCUGCCGACAUUCAAAUACACCUCCACCACCUGCUAGCUACAUCAGAAGAAAUUACGUCAAAAUCCAGCUUGGGGGAGAGCACCCCCAUUUAUCCAGCUAAGUGUUUCUACUUGCGUCUAUACUUUACUCAAAAUAAUAAAAAGAUGCAUAAUCAUAAAAACCCAAAUAAAGAUUUUGUGCUUUUAUAUAUAUCUUUGCUUAGUUUGCUAAAUAAAUAAAUUUUUCUAUGAACCCUCAUGAUAAGCUCUCACAUGGAAAUGAUGAAUAGUUGCUCUGCCAUGACUAGUUCUUAAAAUUGAAAUCUCUCUCAAGUUUAGGCAUAACUGUUAUAAUUUAAACCUGCUCUAAACCUGAACUUGUGGGAAGAGUAGUUGAUCUAAAGUCUAAGUUGUUAACGGAUAUGAUAUGGGAAGGUUGAGCUGCUAUUUAUGUGUUCCUAGAGAUGCUAGAAUUCUGGAGAAUUUUAUCUUUGAAAAUCUUUAAAAUAACACAUGAUGAGUUCCUGUAUGAUGAGAGUUUAAAUUCCUACCACAGCCAUAUAUACAUGCUUGCUAGACUUUAAGCCACACAUUUACUUUUACUGCUUAUGAGCAUUGAGUGUGGUCAAGCUGCGUAGACCCUUAGGAGCUUGUCAUGUGGUUAAAAUCAAGAUUCACUUCCACGUUCACUCACACAUGCUGCUUCUACUCCGGAAGUACGCAUCCACAUACAUCCACUCAUUUCCAUCUCCAGAUUCACCCAAAAGUAUUCUAUUCCUAAUCCGAGAGAGAAUAGCCAAAAAUAUUUUCCUAUCCUUGUUAUUCCCUGUAAAAUAAAUGCUCAAGUUAUCUUGGUUACUACCACUUGCUAUAUUAUUUCAGGAGAUGAGUGCUCUAAAAAACAAAAAAAAGAGAAAAAAAAACAAGGAAAUAAAAAGGGGCAAGUGCCCGGAACCUCGAAAGAAAAGAAAAAGUGAGACGAGAGGUAAAAAUGGACAAGUGUCUGACAGUAGAAUUAGGGGUACAAGAUACCCACCUAAGAGGAAAAAAAAGAAAAUAUAGAGCAUCUCAUUCUCCCCAAAAAACUUCAAAGUGCAAGAAAGGUAUGUAUCACCUUAAAAGAGCAAAAAGUAGAAUUAGACUUUCACCAUUAUUAUCACCAUCAUCACCAUACACCAUUCAUUCGCCACACAUGCACAUCUUGAUUUGACUUAUUGACUUGUUUCUCUGGAUCCAUGGUUUGACUAUGCAAUAAAUGUCUUGUAAGUAUGUAUUAGCUGUCUCCCACCUAUGAGCUCCAGAUAUCAAAACCUUAUUAGAGUAGGGUGAGAGAGAAGGCAAUAUCACUAUGCAUUAUACCAAAAAUACCACAUACUUUGAGAGAAGGCAUAUACCAUUACUGCCUUGGUAUGGAUCCAGAAAUACCACAAAAGCGAGAGAAUCAUACAAGGAAUCUCUGAGUUUUAUUUGAAAAUCUGCAAAAACUUCAGAGCUAUAGCUGAUCAAGAAUAAGAGACAUGGCGCUUGACUUGAUCGUUGUAUCUUUUAACUGCUCAAGACACAAGUGACGGUUACAAGCCCCAUGGUGAAAGGUAAAAUGAGUAAGUUUUAAGUCUUAAUAGUUUAUUCUAACUCAGAGAUGAGAUCUUGCUUGAAUGCGUGUGUACUUUUAAGGCAUGAAACCACUGCAGAAACUCUUGAGUUCAUCCUUGCUCAGGGACGAGCAAGAGGUAAGCUUGGGGGAGUUGUUGAUGGUCCUUAAGUACCAAAUAUAAUCAUCAAAUAAAUAAAGAAAAGGAUCCAAAUGCAACCAACACCCAGACUUAUGGUUUUAACUGAUAGAAUUCCACGAGUUUUGGUGUUUGUCUAUUUCUGCAGGGGGUUAUCAGGAAAUAAGGAUGAAAGGCCCACAUGUCGGGAUUACAUAGAGAUAUCAACACAGCGUGCAAUUUUCUACCAUCUAAAAGACUCUAGAAGCCACGGGAAGAAAGCAGAGGCCGAAAGGGGCCAGGCCCAGGGCUCCCGCCCUGUCCUGGACUCCGUUCGGGACUCUUUUCACAGACGAUGUUCCACCGACUUAAAGGAUAAAGGAUAAUGUAGUACCACAUCGCCUACCAACCCAAAAACACAUAGAGGAGGAGGACUAUAUAAGGAGACCCCCCUGGCCCCUGGAGGAGACAAGAAGUUAUCAUUGAGAUCGAGGGGUGCCCUCGAAGGAAAACCUCUUCUCUAAAUAAUAGUUCUUUUUAGGCUUAGCAACCAAUGUAAGUAGAAAUAGAUCUUCUAGUUUCUACUAGAUUGAGAGAGAUAGAGUGGAGGUGUAGAUCGGAGGAAGGCCGGCCUGUCGGUGUCUACUCCGAGUUGUACCUGCGGGAUCAAGUCUCCUAACCCGAGGCUUGCUUCUAAGAUUCUUCAGUAAUUCGACUUCUAAUUCUAGUAAGUUCUUGCUUUAUUGUUCUUUGGUUUAUGAGUUUACUUUAAUCCUCUUCCGGUUGAGUAUUAGAGUAAUCAUUGCUAGCGUAAACGUGGUGUUUAGGCUAGGGUACUCAUAGAUAUCCCCUGACUAGCUGGACU
rnacentral:lncRNA from 1 species